GGUUGUGGCUCAGUGGUAGAGUGCUUGCCUAGCAUGUGAGAAGCCCUGGGUUCAGUCCUCAGAACCA
rnacentral:tRNA from 1 species